ensembl:snRNA
GUGCUGUCCGAGCUGAGAGGCCAACACUCCCCUUGAGGAGGAUGGAAGGGGCCCUUGGGCCCGACCACGCACAUUCGGUUAAGGUGCUGCCAACUCCGUGCCGCAGCUAACCAUCGUCUUCC